GCCAAGUAUGCACGAUAUUCAUUCAAACUGACAGAGCCUGUGUGUGUCCUAGUUUGUACUUCCUAUUGCUCCUCGGUCUCUCACCAGACAGCCUCCAAUUUAAAGAAGCAGGAAGAAGACAGCGGAGAAGAGCAAAUUAAAUUAAACAGUGUGUGAAACGACAAAGCAGAAUGAGGAGGACGAAGAGCCGAUGGGACAGAGGAAAGCUGGAUGGAAGUACAUCAGAGUAGCGUCUCAGAGGGAGGGAUAAAAAGUAGUCAGAGAUACAGAAGGAAAGCCGGGACUCAGACACUAUAGCUCCGGCAGAGGGUGAUGUAGAAGGGUCGCAGGGGAGCUGAUGCCUAUCUGUGGUCUAUGGGUGAGGUUGUAGACACCCUUGAUAGGACGCCAGUUCAUCGCAGGGAAACACAGAGACACACAGUACAAACAACCAUACACACACACACACUUUGAGAGAUUGGGAGACCAAUUAACCUACUAGUCAUGCUUUUGGACAGUGGGAGGAAGCAGUAGUACCUGGAAAGAACCCACGCAUUCACGGGGAGGACAUGCAAACUCCAUGCAGAAAGACCCCUGUCCGGGAGUCAAACCCAGGACGUUCUUGCUUCAAGGAAACAGUGCUACUAAGUGCGCCACCGUGCAGCCCACUUUUAUUUAUUUUAUUAUAAAUAUUCAAUUCUGAGUUGUUGUUUUUCUUUUUUUACCAAUUUUGAUUCAAGAAAUUAUUCAUCAAAAAGUCCUACCAAAUAAUAAGGCAGACUGUAUUUAUGCAAGGAACUGUAAAUGGAGGUGGCCUGUGUUCUAGAAACAAGUCUGUCAGAGGGUUUAAUUAGUUUUGCUUUCCAUGAAGUUCUGAAAUAUAAAGUUUCAUUGCAACUGCCAAGCUCUUUUGUCUUCCUCCGCAGGUUCCUCCUUUGUGGUUCCUGUCAUGGCUGUCUUAUCCUCCCUGUGCCGGAUGACAGCUGCUAGUUUGCAGAAAGCCUAAGAUUUUCUAGUUGUGGGGAACAUUCAACGCUGUCGGUGAGUUUAUAGCUCUAAAAAAACCAUCGACUGUUGAGUGUACCCUAAUAGCUGAGUUUACAUCAGUUCGUGUGUUGGGUUGCACCCAGCAACUGCACCUGAAGAGCAGUCAGAGUUAACCUUUGCUUCCAAAGGUCUGACAGCUAAAAUUAGCUAUGGCAUUCUGUUGUGAUGUGACAGUUUCAUGCAUGAUACUUAUUUACAUGCAAAGCUAACAUAUUUUUUUAUAUCUCUUUUCUAGCUGUGUUUUGGCAAUGAUGAUUCAGUGUGUUUUCUGGAAUAAGUUUCUUUAACUGAGCGAUUUGAGACCAUUUUAUAUAUUUCAGGUAACUAUAUAAUUUAUUUGGAAUUAAGUAGGAUUUCAUUAUAAUUCAGUAUAAUACUAGUCAAUUUCAUUACAUUUAGUUUAGUUAAUUUAGUACAAUACAAAUACAUUUAGCAUAAUACAAUUCAGUUUUUUUUCCAUUAGUUUAUCUCAUGGGACUUUCCAAGGCAAACCAGUUCAAUUAUUAUUCAAAUUUAGACAAUAUAUUUGCGUCCAACUCCCUUACAUUUUUAGACCUAGACUUUCUUGGUUGUUCUGUUUAAAUGUAGAACAAAUUAACACGUUGAACGUCAAGCCUG